rnacentral:rRNA from 1 species
GCGAACGCUGGCGGCAGGCCUAACACAUGCAAGUCGAACGCCUGUAGCAAUACAGGAGUGGCAGACGGGUGAGUAACGCGUGGGAACGUGCCCUUCGGUUCGGAAUAACUCAGGGAAACUUGAGCUAAUACCGGAUACGUCCGUGAGGAGAAAGAUUUAUCGCCGAAGGAGCGGCCCGCGUAAGAUUAGCUAGUUGGUGAGGUAACGGCUCACCAAGGCUAUGAUCUUUAGCUGGUCUGAGAGGACGAUCAGCCACACUGGGACUGAGACACGGCCCAGACUCCUACGGGAGGCAGCAGUGGGGAAUAUUGGACAAUGGGCGCAAGCCUGAUCCAGCCAUGCCGCGUGAGUGAUGAAGGCCUUAGGGUUGUAAAGCUCUUUCGGCGGGGACGAUAAUGACGGUACCCGCAGAAGAAGCCCCGGCUAACUUCGU